rnacentral:rRNA from 1 species
AUCAACUUUCGAUGGUAGGAUAGAGGCCUACCAUGGUGGUAACGGGUAACGGGGUGUUAGGGCACGACACCGGAGAGGGAGCCUGAGAAACGGCUACCACAUCCAAGGAUGGCAGCAGGCGCGCAAAUUACCCAAUCCCGACACGGGGAGGUAGUGACAAUAAAUAACAAUACGGGGUCCUUUCGGGUUUCGUAAUUGGAAUGAGUACAAUUUAAAUCUCUUAACGAGGAACAAUUGGAGGGCAAGUCUGGUGCCAGCAGCCGCGGUAAUUCCAGCUCCAAUAGCGUAUAUUAAAGUUGUUGCAGUUAAAAAGCUCGUAGUUGAAUUUCGGGAUCAGUACGCCGGUCGUGCCUUCGGUAUGCACUGGUGUCACUGGUUUCUCCCUUCUGAAGAACCAUCAUGCCAUUCAGUUGGUGUGGCGGGGAAUCAGGACUGUUACUUUGAAAAAAUUAGAGUGUUUAAAGCAGGCUCGCGCUUGAAUACAUUAGCAUGGAAUAAUGAAAUAGGACGUUUGACCCUAUUUUGUUGGUUUCUAGGAUCGACGUAAUGAUUAAUAGGGAUAGUUGGGGGCAUUAGUAUUCAAUUGUCAGGGGUGAAAUUCUUGGAUUUAUUGAAGACUAACUACUGCGAAAGCAUUUGCCAAGGAUGUUUUCAUUAAUCAAGAACGAAAGUUAGGGGAUCGAAGACGAUCAGAUACCGUCGUAGUCUUAACCAUAAACUAUGCCGACUAGGGAUCGGAUGAUGUUAAUUUUUUAAUGACUCAUUCGGCGCCUUACGGGAAACCAAAGUGUUUGGGUUC